AAUCAAUGUAGACUACAAUUCUAAUGUAUACGUUAAUCUUAAGCUAUCGAGUUCUAGCACGCGUUCAUGAUGCUGUUAAUUGGUCCAUGUUUGGCGUACAGUGACCGGUAAUUAUUAAUAGUAAAAAUAUUGCGCGUUCUUAAAGGACGAGAAGGAGCAUAAAAGUUAAGAGUUUCCAGCAGAUUUGAGUUUCGAUAUUAAUAAGCAUGCAGCGAGAUUCGUAAGAAGGGAGAGGAUAUGAUGCCCAAUUGAGUUUUCUUAAUGC